UGUUGGAUAUUGGUUAAAUAAAUCGAGAAUUGAAAAUCGAUUAAAGUGAUUUCGUAUCGACUUCGACCAAAUACUCAAAAGCUCGACUCAAUCCGUUUAAACAAAAUUGUUUGCCACUUCGCCGCUUCGGGGCGCACAAACGGGGAUCGACCUGCCCGGUCAGGUCGCGAGGGUCGAGAGGGCAGCGCCCCUCGUGGGGGGUCGGGGGCAACGCCCCCGAAAGAGAAUUUUGAUUUCUCUGCAUGUAUUGAAGGGUAUAUUUGGCAUUUCGAAAACCAAUAUCGGAUGAAUGAGAAAUUACAAAAAAAGGACGAAAAUCAGUGAAUAGACACCUUUUCAUAAAGGUGGUGCAUUGUUUGGAAAGGGUGCAUGAUUUGGCC
rnacentral:lncRNA from 1 species